UUCUGUUCUCACAAAAUUAACUGAAGGAUCCGUAUCUAAGAGAAACACAGGUUGCUGCUGAUGCCUGAUAAUUUUGUUGAAGUCAACAACCGAAACAUCUGGACUGCCAGAUAAACCACAAGGAUGCAAUGGAUGAUGCUGCUGCAAGAACAUAUACUUUGUCAUUGGAUAAUUAGAAAUACGCAUCAGUAGGUAAUUGGGUGAUUCAUAUCAUACCCUUGUAAGUGUAAGCUAUAAAACUCCCCAAAGAAAAAUUGCUUGCAUGUGCCCAGUUUGGCUGGGACAUCUCAUGCACACAAUGAAAUAUGCUAUUCAAUCAUCAUGGGCCAGUUGUGAAUUUUGCAACAAGAGCAGGAGGCAUACGAGGUCAUUUAGCUGAGCUUUGUUUUAGCUUUCCUCUUGACAGCACAAGCAAGAUGCCCCCGAGCAGCCUGAGCAUCAGGAAUACUGCAGGAGCAGGCUGGCCUUGGCUUCCAUGGAGAAGUGUUUGUCCCCAAAAAAAUUCAGGAAAAAGCCAAGCUCCCUUGAGCAACAUUUUAGCACUGGGAAUGCAGAAACCUCCAUGCUGGUGGUGCUGGGUUGAGCAUAGAAUGCUAGCAGGCCUCCCUGGAGACCCCUUUCCUUGUGUCAGGGGGCAUGAUAAAGCUGCAGCAAACUGUGUGGUCCUGACAAAUUCUGUGUGCUUGUGUGACAAAUGUAAACAGCACACACACCUGGCUGAUGAGCAACCAAUUCUCUUGCUAUUUUUUCCACAAUAUUCAGUUUACCACGUUCUCCCAUCAGCAAGUUUGGCAGUGCUGAGGGUACUAUUCAUCAGCUUCUGGGCUGGAAAUAACUACUAGCCCACUGACAGCCUUUAGCUGUUUAACCUCAGGAGUUGCUUCUGAAGCAGCUCAUAAACUGCCAAACUUCACAUACCUGUGACAAGCCACCCUUAAGUGGAAGGAAGCACACACACAGGCUGUAUCUCCAACUAGCAUCAGGCUAUCCCAGGGAGCAGACAGUGUAAGAGUGCUGCUCUUACACUGGUUUGACUGCAGGAAGCUGCAGAAAGGAAUUCAGUCACAUCAGCCUUAACAUGGUGAGAAACUGUACUGAUAAACACCAGGCUAUAAACAGUGACUCAGGAAGUGCUUGAACAUGGACUCUCCACAAAGAGUCAGGUCCUCAGCUUGUGCUGGUACAUGAGGUUAUUCCUCCCCAGGGGCAGGACAGCAGCUGGCUGAAUGUCAUUAGUUUCCUAUAUGCUGAUUUCCCCAACCUGUCAGAUAUUUCCAUUCAAAGGGACAUGAGGUACAUCAACCACUAUUCCCAGUUUUGAAUUAUCAGCAAACUUGUGAGAAUGCACUUUGCCCCAUGUCAUGCAAUGAAGAUGUUAAGUGGUAUAACCUUAGUAUUGACCACAAGGGACUGGUCUCCAGCUUGUCUUUGUGCUGCUAAUCCUUUGAAAUCAGAAGCUGAGGCUGUUUCCAUUCUACCUCACUAUACAAUUAUCCAGUCCAUACUGAGCUGGACAGAAACUUGAUUGGUUUCAAUAGCAAGCUGAUCUAGUUGAACACAUCCCUGGUUAUAGCAGGGAGGUUGAACUAGAUGACCUUUAAAGGUUCCUUUCAAUCCAAACCGUUCUAUAAAGACUAAGGCAAAUAAGGCAUUGAGGACCUUAACCUUUCUAUGUCUGCUUAGUAGUGUGAAGUUCUGGUUCUGCUGUAUCUCAAAAAAAAAAACCCAAACAAAAACCCACAAGAUGCUUAAGAGACAAAGGUGUUUUUAAAAGUUACAGUGGGAAGUCUUACAUGUCUCUUCCAAUGCUGAGAAACAUGCAAGGAUGCAGACCUGGACAGUUCUCUCUGGUAGAGCCACUGCUUUGCAGAAUUCUUUGUGGUGAGAUUCAAUAGCCUCAUUGUUCAUCACAUCUUUACAGUAUUCAUCGAAGUAAAACAAAUCCAUCAGUCUCUUAUUGUACGAUACUGAAUGUUCUAGAGGGUACACCGAGGUUUGCUGGAAACAUUACACUUUUACACAUUCCCGUGGGAACAAGCCCUUACAAAGAAUACACACAGAUUGCAUUGUUAGUGGCAACACACGUUGUAUACUCAAGUUCAGCAGUUCCUCAUGCUAACACACAUGCAACUCUACAAUCAAAACCUAGUUAAAUUCUGCCUAAAAACUGCUUGAAAUCAGUCUCUUCCUUACAAUACCUUCUGUGUUGGCCCACUGCAGCAUUCUUCUUCACCCUGUCCCAGCCUCAUUGAGGAGUGAGCCCACGUUUUCUAUUGCAGAAACACUGCUUGUUUUUCACAUCUCUUUACCAUAUUCAACUCCAGAUGGAUUUGGCUUUCCUAACCCCCAUCCUUGCACACAUGGACAGUGGCCCUAUUCCUUCUGAGUCACCUGUGCUUGUGUCCACCUCCUGUAUGCUUCCUUUCCAUGCUUAAGUUCAGUCAGGCCCUCCUGCCAUCUUUGCAGGUUUUCCUGCACACCAGAAUGGACCAUUCUUGAGCUUGUAGAAAGUGAUUCUUUGUGGGGUAAAAAAACCAAAAAAAACCAAAAACCAACCAGCUCUUCUGGGCCUGUCUUCUUUUCAGGAUCAUAUCAAGUGGAUUCACCCAAGUAGAUCCCUGAACAGGCUGAAGUCUGGCCUCUUGAAGGCCAUGACAAUAGUCCUGGCCUCUUCUUCCCUCUUUUCAAUGGAGUUCACUUCCAAUAAAACCACUCUUUUUAGUGUUGAAGAAUGCUGAGACCAACCCUAACAACAAUCCUAAAUUAAUCCCAUCACAGGGAUAUGAAAGACAGAUGUUUCCUGACAAAGACUGGCACUGACAAGGAUGUGAAAGACAGAUGUUUACAGAAUGAGAAAAAACAAACAAGUGACAACAUCUUAUUUAAAAGUAAAGCAUGUUCUGUUGACUUGACAAUGGCUAGCCUAGCAACACAUGACUGACAACAAAUGACUUUGUACUAUGAAGGCGUGGUCCCAUUUUCCAGCAGAGAGGACUUCUAGGAGUAUGUGUGGAGAUUCCUCCCUUGAGUAGGGACAUCCUUCAAGGUAACUCUUUGAGUAUGAGCAAAAAUUAUUUGCCCACAGCCAUCAGUAUGGUUUAAAGCUCUUCCUACCAGACUGACCAUCCUGUUGGCAAAGAUGCUCUCCCAUCUUAGUCCAGUGUAUCCCAGUUCUUCCAAGUGACAUCUACUCAUCAAAGAGCAUACCACAUUCAUAGAAAAUAAAACCCCACAAGUUGACUGUUGAAUUCCAAAAUUUGGAUAUCAGAAAAGGAAAUUGCUGGGUUUAAACAGAAGCCAUGGGCUACAGAAGCUGGGAAAAAAAACCCUUUUCAUUGACCUCAUCUCUGUGGAAUUUUCCUGCCUUCUCCAGCAGGAUGUGAAGAGACUUUUUCAUAAUGUUAUCACAUGUCCUAUUGUAUCUACUGCUCCCUGCAUAAUCCUGUCUCAAGAGAUGUGAAUAUCUUCCCCUCAUGUAAUUCCCCUAAGAUAAAGUGGGUUUUCCCCUAUGAUAUAUGUGGUAAGACCCCAAAUUUGUUAACUUAGGUUUUCCCCUUCCUUGAAACCCCCUAAUUGUAAUAAUUGUAAUAGUUACAACUCCCUGUAGAAUAUGUAGACCCUAAACCCUUUAAAUAUGAACUUGUAAGUCCAAUAAACCAUUCCAGUUUCUUGCCCCCAAGCUGGGAUCUUCUUAGCUUUAUUGACCUCCACAGCUGACCAGCAGGUCUGAAGACACACCAGAUGGGCCCUUAUGCACUCUGGAGUGCCAUCUCUCCAGAGCUGUAUCAUACUUGAUGCUAUCCAGGUCUCUCCAGUAAUUUGAGAGGAUUUGAUGAUUACAUGAAAAAGCAGCAGGGAUCAAUAAUCAGCCAGAGAUGCCUCUGCAGGCUUUUCAUGCUUUCAUAAAUCACAGACCCUCAAAAGCAGCGAAGUCCCCUGGACAACAGGUCAGCAGACAGGCCUGUUCCCUACAGCAGAGCUGUCAGCAUCAAGGAAACAAUCCUUAAUGCCUCCUUCUGGUGCUCCUGUUGCCUGAAAACUGGGUAUAAAGAAACUCUCUAAAACCCUUUUUUGAGUUUUAGGGAGCAAAACAUUCUUUUGUUUCAGCAUGCUGGAUGCACAAGAGAAUAUUGUCUCUAAAUUGUGCAUACCUGAGUUACAAAAGCCUCCUGCCUUUAUUCAGUUACCAAAUUAACAAUUCAAACAUUACCUAAUCCUGUCCCUCCCCUUGACACAAAUCCCAUUUUGAGUCAGUGGUCCCUUUGAGUGGUUGUUCAUGAUCUUUGGGUUGUUCAUGGUCCCUUUGGGUGGUUGUGCCUCAUCUUUUUCAAGCUGUCCUUUUCUUGAACUCUUUUGAACUUUGACACAUCUUCAUGCCCUUUGGACUGUGUCAGAGCACAAGGUCAGUUUUGACUUGGCCUGAUAGCUGUGUUCCUUUUAUCAGUUCUGCUUCAAAAUAGGGAGACCUUCUGUCACUUAAAAAAUUCCUUUCUGCUGAGAGUACUGACCUUUAAUGACAAGCUAUACAGGUCAAGCUACAUAGUUUUAAGCUACAUUUGUUAUUCUAUAUGGCUACACUUCUGCAAGGCUCAGGCUCAGCCAGCUCAGAUGGUUCACUUGACACACUUUUCUACAAACACAAGGCUGAAGAUAUUUUGUAAUUACAAAUCAUCAGGCAGUGCAUAAUCAUUUCUCCUACCAGCAGGAAUCACAGGCUUUCAACAUCUUGAGAGUUUUUACUUCCCACCCUGAUAGAUAGACUCAGCCUGCCCCUCCCUCAGUACAUACCUCCAUGGUUUCUCAAAGCCAGAGGAUCUCAGAGAAGAUCCAAGUCUCUUUCACAACCUCUGAUGAUCUAUAGCACACUAACCUCGUCCUGUAGCUCCUUUGCUUAAUAAAACAUCUCAAAAGGUGUGCUUCUCCCUUCAGGCUAAAGGGAGGGAGACCAGCACCCUUCUUCUGAAGGUCUGUCUUGGGUUGAGACCUCCACCGUUGCAGGGGAAGUUUUUCCAAGAGCUGCUGAGGACAGCAGCUUAUAGCACACCCUGACCGCUGCUGAGGAAGCAUGUGCUGUUAGAAGAUAAGGCACCAGCCCUUCCCACACCAAAUGCCCCCCAAAACCUUUGUGCUUUAAGCCCAGCUCUUAUAUAGUCUUCAGCCUGAAAGGGUGUCAGACCCUCUCCAAUCAGUGUCAGCUGGAACUAAACCUCCAAGGGCCCUUUAAUCAAAGACAGCUGGGGGGUCGUCAGCCCCGCUAGACCUUGCUGCAGCUCAAGGCCUCCUGCAGCUCUCUGUUCCCAACAGCAGCAGACAACCUCAAGCUCCUCAAAGGCUUCCCAAAAGGGUUCCCAGAGGUCCUUUGACAGUGAUCCCAGAAGGCGGCCCCAGCAGAUCUAGAAGCAAGACCCCAGAAACUGCUGUGCUAUUUGCUGCCUCUUCUGGCUGUGCUUAAGAAGGAAUGUUUUUGUGACUAUUAGAUUUUAUUAGCGAUAGUGUUAAAUUUUGUUAUUGCUCAGUAUUAACAUGACUGACAAUUAAGUUAGUAAGGAACAAGGUACCAGAAUGCAUGUUGGAAUAGUAAUUUUAAAGAGUUGAAAUGGUUAGAAAGGUAUACUGCAAUAUCAUCGUGAUCUGAUCCAACUGGCAGCCUGUGUUGACACCUGGGUACAAAACUAGACAUCCUUGGGGGCUGUCUGACACUGAGUACAGGCAGAGGGUAUGUCCUGGGUUUGGCUGGGAUAGAGUUAAUUUUCUUCUUAAUAACUGGUACAGUGCUGGGUUUUGGGUUUAGGAUGAGAAUAAUGUUGGUAACACAUUGAUAUUUUUGUUGCUGCCAAGCAGGGCUUACAUUGACUCAAGGCCUUUUCUGCUUCUCAAAUCACCCUACCAGUUAGUGGACUGGGGGGUGCACAAGAAGUUGGGAGGGGACACAACCAGGACAGCUGAUCCCAACUGACUCAAGGGAUAGUCCACAGUGUCAUGCUGAACAAUAAAACUGGGGGAAUGGUGACCCACUGCUCUGGACUAGCCUCGAGAGCUGGAUACUAGAUCCUACACAAACAUUUGUGGUUUGUUUUCUUUAAUGAUAGCAAGAUAACACUUGCAAACAAAGCAUUAAAGAAUGUCAGAGUGAUUCUGUAUACCUAGUUCUGAAACAAUGGCACCCACAUAAGUAGUUCAUUUUGGAACAUAAAGAUUGUGCUGUUCCAACAGUUAUUAUACAAUUAUUCCUGUCCAAAAGUUAUGUGACUCCUACACACUGGUUGGCUGAUUUUCCCACAGGGAGUGUCUUUCUUUCUUGGACAUCCAUCAAGAUACACUUUUUUAAUAACACAGAUUGUUUUCCAGGUGUGGUAUAUUGACAAUCUUUGCCCAUGCUACUUAUGUGUAACAAACAUUUGUGUUUUAGGGUCAGUGAAAAGGUUGUGCACACAUUCUUGCCAAGGUUUGUUGAAUUUUUUUAGAGAUUAUGCACAAUGCUUUUGCAUUAUAGUUAUUUCUGUCUACUUAUGGCAGUGUUAACUGUCACACUGAUAUAUUGGGUUUACUUAAAUGCAUUUGAUUUUCUUCAGGUUCUGACACCAGAUGGACCUAUAGUGAAGUCUGUAUUCUCCGGUCCAGGCAAAGCUACAUUGGUUGGUCCUGAUUACACUACAUACACUGAAUCCACAGUACUGACUUGGGCUUUGAGAAGGAUAUCACUCAGUUAGGAAGUGAUUUCAGAAAGCAAGAAUGAUGACAAAAUAAGAGAACAAAGAUGAUAGGCAGCAAUUUUACUGAAGGUAUAAGGAUGCUGGAGGGAGCAACAUUCCAAGGCAAUCCAUUGCUUUUUCUAGAAUUACUGCUGGUUUCUACAGGAUCUGUCUAAAAAAGUAACUAAAGCUCCUGUCAUAAUCAACCAAGUGGAGGAGCCCAAGGUCAAUUAAGAGGAGCCUAAGCCAUGCAGAGAAGUCUCAGCAGCUGUUUUGUGACAUGCUGGUGAUUCUGGUGAGUCCCCUCUGAUACAUACAUCUUUGGUGCUUGAAGUAUGAAAGAAUGUGUAGAAGUGAAAUAACUUUUAAAAUAAAAGCACUCUCCUCUUCUGUAAUAUCUCACCAUGAAUUUAUAUGGUUUUUUUUCUUGUAUUAAUAGCUUACAACAGUCAGACAGUGUAUUUGAUAAAUCAUCUCAGCUCUUACACACUUCCAUAACCUAGGAAUAAGGCAACAACAUGUACCAUAACUAAUCAAGCAAUUAAUUCUUGAACAUCUACUGCUGGGUGAGCUCUGCUAGGCUGGCUUGUAUUGACCCUCAGUUCCUGAUAGUUAAAGGAUAUAUAGGAUGUACUUUUUCUCUGAUGCCAGAAGGUUUCUUUGCCUGGCAGUCACUAACUGUUCCUGCUUUCUGAUUCAUUAGCCUGUAUGAAUUGUAAAAUAAAUGUUCCUUCCAUGCUAACAAGUAUUUCUCUUAGGACACAGUAUCUACUGUUCUUAGCCAGUGCAGCUUGUGUCUGAUCAGUGGACUCUGUCACUUGAAACUGGACUUGAUGCCCAGCAGUAAGAAAGCAGACCUUGUGUCCUGCUUACUGCAGAUAAUGGGAAGAUGGUUUGUACAGCCCUCAUUUCGGAGCUGGAGCUGAGCUGAGGAGAUAUUUUUGUAGGAAACCACAAGCACUGCUGGGGUACAGUGAAUUCAACAGUGGGUGAAGUAAAACCAGUGUUUCCUGGGUUUUAACUCCAACAGCUCCAGUAAUGGUCUAGCCUAAAGAGAAAAAGUAAGCAGAACUAUGUUGGUGAGUAUAUGAGAACCUCGUUAUUUCAUAUAAGGAGGAAGUAUGGAGAAGGAAGGUGUGAUGAUUUGGAAUUUGAGAUGGAAGAUAAGUGUUGAAGACAGGCUGUGUUGUGUGCAUUUCUCUUUGAGUAGUGUAGAAGUUGAUUUGAAUGGCUAAUCACUGUGUUACUGAGGAGUCUGCCAGCUCUCCAGUAGCAUACUUAUCUGGUAUCUGCAUCACAAAAACGUGCUCAAUUGCAAAUUGUAAAUGCCAUAAGCCUUUAAGAGGUUGAUAGGUGUUCAUAAAUGGCAAGAGGCUCCCGAAGAUGGAAGACAGUGAAGCAAGAUAUGUUAGCUAAAAGGGGGGCUCUGCACAGGAGUGGCAAGAUCUAGGUUGGAGGCAGCACUGAAUACCUGGAGGCAGAAGCUCAGAUUUGGGAAGGAUGAGUAAGAGCAGUUUAACUAGCAAGUACCUGAGAUGCUUUAUCAGAGGUCUAAGGCUUUAAGGAAGGGUUUGUAGUUUAACAGGCUGCUGCAUAGAAGCAGCAGGCUAGAAGAUUUAACUGAAGAAACCUACUCAUUAAGCUGAACAAAUUUGCAAUCAGACUGAGUAAAUAACAUUUGACUUGCAAUCCCAGGAUAUAGCCACUGGGACUCAAGUUUCUACAGCAGGACCUUGCAUAGAAGCCUGCAGCUAGAAAGUUCAGGUUUUUAAGUAGUGUGAAUUUUAAUGUGUCUUUAAGAUGUUUAGACUAAGUUCAUUUAAUUAAAGGAGUUUUACACAGAAGAGUUUAUGCCAAUGUCAUUGACCAGUAUGCAGCAGACAAUAAGAAACCGAGCACUAAUGAGUUGCUUAACACUGGAUUGUUUAGCAAUAAGAGUUCAGGUAUGAAAUUAAGGCAAGAACAGUUCAGAGAGCCAAAGAGCUGAAGCUACGGGACGAGACCAGCAGCACAGAGAAACGUGGCACUGAGAUAGAUUGUGGGCAGGGCUUGUGAGGGAAGGCUUUGCUGGGGCAGAAGCUGAUCAGCCAUCCUGAGGCAGUGAGUGGUGUCACUGCGGUGAAACAUUACAGAGGAGCUGAGGCUAGUGGAGUGGCUUUUCUCUCCUUUCCUUUUCACUCGUUUCCCCAGUGAUAAGUGGGAGAUGUGCUGCACUUGAACUCCUUCCUGAAGCUUUAUGCUCACCCCAAUAGUCCUACACACAUACUGUAUUUUGCAUCUUCUUUAACAGACAUUUUCCAGCUGUUGUUGUCUUCUCUUACUCUGUAGGUGUUUCACCACUCAUGCUGUAGCCCUCACUUAAAAUGCUCUGCCUCUCCUGAACGCUUAGGUGCAUUCACAAAAAAUAGCUGUAAGUGCUCCAUUGAUUUGCCCAGGUAGAAAUAUGUAAUUUACUUCAUUUUCAUGAGCCCCUGUUGCCAGAUGAAGAACUAUUUACUCAGCUGGUGUUAAUAGAAUGCCUAUUUUGCAAAAUCAGUAGCCUGUGGAACUGCACAAUUAAAACUAUGUUAAACAUCAACCAAAAAGGGGAACAAGAAGUACACUUCAUUGAUCAAGGGACUCCAAAUAAUGUGCAGUGCAGGUUAUGCCAAAUCUUCUUCAUAUUUUGGAGGUAACAUUGAGUUCAUCAAGUGGUUAGGGAUAAUUCUUGGGUCAACAACUGCCAAAGACCACUUGAGGGACACUCAGGACAAGAAAAUGCGUGUGUCAGUGGGAGGGGAAAUAUGUUAAUAACUUCAGGGAAAAUUAUUAUCAUAUGUAUAUUUCUUCUAGGAAAAUCAAUGAAUACAUAUGUAAACUAUAGGAUACAAACAUGAGCCUUUUCUGAGCCUUUUCUGAGCCUUUUCUGUAUUUGGGAUGCCCAAUAUUUCAGAGGAAAUGUCCCCUUGUGCAUCCGACACCAAAUAAAAAAUGCCUGUUUCUUAACACUGCGUUGGGGUUAAGGAGUCUUUAGGCUGUUUUUCAGUAACACCCUUACUAAUUCACAAGCACUGGUUGUUUUCUGUCUAGUAAAUAACACUUUCUCUGAAAUAAUGAUGAGAUGACAAAUAUAAUAAUCUCGAUGGUGGUCUGCCUUGUAAAUGUUUAGAUUUUAUUUGAACCUCUCUGUUGGGAGCUGAUCUCUACAACCACUCAUAAUUCUUGUGAAUUCUAACAAGGAUGUAGGAAAGAGGGCUUUACCCCUGAGAAUAGUAAUGUAACUGGCUGUAAUGUAAAAGGAGAACAAAUUUAAAGCAAAACAGUGUAAAUGGGACAGAUUUGAGAAGGGUCAUCAUGGAAAGACGAAUGUCUAUGAAAUUUAGAAAAUUUGUGGUGUCCCGUGAGGGCUUGGAGCUGGCUGACAUAUUUCUCCUUUUUUCUGUAUGGUGAUGCAAAUGCUGGGACUGAAGUGCCUGUGAGCAGGAGUAUGUAAGAAGGGCAGCUCCCCAAGACACUCUUCUCUCUGGCUGCAGCAUGUGGCUUGGGUCAUGGGCCCAGCUGGUGGACAGAGGUUCCCAGUGCUGAGCAGUAAACAAAGUUUUGUCUGCUAAACUGUGGUUUAGAUGUGCCUAGGCACUUCCUAAUUUUUCCAGUGGUGUCACAAUGUUUAAGUGUUUGUGGUGUUUAUGAGGCUGGUUAACUUAAGCUGAACAAGAUGCCCCUGCUGUUCAGGUGUUUGUGAAUGACAACAGGCAGCAGUAAAGAAACUAUUUGUAAGGCCAAUGUAGAUCUUCUGUCUGGUUUGCAAGUCUCAAACAAAAGCAAGGCAAUGCAAUGCUGCUCACCUUGUGUGCAAAAUAUACAUCUCCUGGGAAAAGGUAUGGGCUACUGCUAGAAACUAUGCAAGCAAAAGUCAAAGAUGAUUGAAUAUUUGGCACACUGCAAAGGCUCUCAAAUGAAUUAAAACUUGAAAGGCAUACCAUGUAGAUCUGUGAAGGAAGUGGAGAGUAAUUAGAGCAAUGCGGGUCUUUUUCUAUGUUGCUCUACCUCUUAAAACACCUCUAAGAACAAUUUGAGGGCCUGGUAUUGGUUGCAGGUGAGUUAUUUUGAUCAAAGUCUUUGGAGAAAAUAAUUUCUUUGUUCUGUUCUUUGUGCUUCACUUGGAAACUGUCAAAGAUGACAAGGCUUGAAAAUUCCUGCAAAUAAAGUUCUUUUAAUUAAAAUGAGCAUAAAUCAGACUUUCACCAAACACCCUAGAGUUUACAAUUGACUGCAGGGAAAUUGCUGGCAAAUUCUGUUGGCUGACCAAAGGGCAUGUGAAGCAGAGGAACACAUUCUUCAACAUCACUGCUUCUCUGAGGAUGGCAUCCAUCAGGAAUUUCUGUGUUUGUCUUCACUCCCCUGGUCUCUGCUUUGCCUCAAGAGCAUUUCUUUAGCUUAGGCUUAACCCUUUGAGACUGCCAGCCUGGCUAUCAUGUCCUUGUCUUCCCUUUUUAAAUCCAAUUAGCUCACAUGUGUUAUGUAAUUGAGAGAAAUUGCAUAAGUAUCAAUAAUACUUCCAGACUGAUUUGUCUCUGUUAAGUUGGCACCAAACUUGUAACACUUGCUGCUGAGGAAAUAACAUACCAGAAACACAGAGAAAGGUGGAUGAUGCUGCAUUAUUCAUGCCAUACAGAAAUGUGUAUUCAGUGAAAUGUGCCAGAUGUUAAUACAAACAUUUUUAAGCAUUGACUGGUUUCUGGGGUAUUCUGUACAAAGCAAAAGAAAAGCUUGCAGAAACAGGUUCUAUGGGAUGUUUAGUUAAUGGUUGCUGUGGGAAAAGCAGCUGGGAGAUGGUUGUCAGUGCCUGAGGUAAGAGACAACAGUAAAGUGUGUCAUGGGAAGAAAUCACAAGUGGUAGAGGAUGAAGGUCAGAGAGAUGCUUUUGGCUGCUCAGACAUCCAUGAAAUCUGUAAGAAGUAGUCUAAUCUAUUUUAGCUUAAAUAAGGAGAAACUUCCUGUUAGCUGCAUAGUUACACAAUACUGAAACUGUUGAGAAGAAUUUGUUUCAAGUGUCUUCCUCUUUGAUGGAGGGGAGAAACAAAAGAAAAUUUAAGGACUAAAUGUAGCUUAUGAAAUCUAACCAUAAAAAGCAGUGGAAAAAGGCUAUUUCUACUUCAGAGUAGAAUGAGUCAACCUAGUUUUGGAAGAAUCUGGUCUUAUGAUUCCUAACCACUUUGACAAGAACAAGAUGAAUGUGUCUUUCCAGACAAGCUCUAUCUGCUUGCAGAUGCAAGGAAAUGGCUAAUUGUGGGUAAUAAAACAGCUGGUUUUAGGUGAUAAAAUGACUGAAAGAAUCAAUUAACUUGUAGAAGAAUAGUGAGAAAGGAAAUAACUUUUUAAGAAUAGUGAGAAAAGAAAUGCCUGUAUGUAAUAGGCAUUUUUGGGAAGUCUGUACCUUCUGGAUACUUUAGCCAAUGAGGAAAGGAAGAGCUUUAUAUGACCAGGAAGAAUUUAGGAUAAAAAGGAGGCUACAUCCUCCGAUUAUUCAAGAGAGAUUUUCAUUGGGUGUGCUCAGUGAGCUCUCCCUUUAUUCAUGAACAAAGUUACUUUGGCAGAACUCCUCUGUAUCCUCUGUGGACACCAACCUCUGGCAAUGAGAAUUUUCUGCACAAAUUGCUCACACUUUGCUUUACUUACUGCCUAGUUAUGUCUUGUGCAAAGCCACAUUACCUGUUACAAUGCUUUGUGCCUAAAAGUGACCAGAAAUAUCAUAUUCUUAAGCUACAAGAGCAUAAA